GAACGAACGCUGGCGGCGUGCCUAACACAUGCAAGUCGUACGAGAAAUCCUGGGCAACUGGGAAAGUAAAGUGGCGCACGGGUGAGUAACGCGUGGGUAACCUACCCUUGGAUUUGGGAUAACUCCGCGAAAGCGGGGUUAAUACCGGAUGAUAUUCCGAUUUCUAAGGGGAUCGGAAUCAAAGGUGGCCUCUGCAUGCAAGCUACUGUCUAAGGAUGGGCCCGCGUACCAUUAGCUAGUUGGUAGGGUAAUGGCCUACCAAGGCUCCGAUGGUUAGCUGGUCUUAGAGGAUGGCCAGCCACACUGGAACUGAGACACGGUCCAGACUCCUACGGGAGGCAGCAGUGGGGAAUCUUGCGCAAUGGGGGAAACCCUGACGCAGCAACGCCGCGUGGGUGAUGAAGGCCUUCGGGUCGUAAAGCCCUGUCAGGUGGGAAGAAACAUAUCGGUGCUAAUAUCGCCGAUGUUUGACGGUACCGCCGGAGGAAGCACCGGCUAACUCCGUGCCAGCAGCCGCGGUAA
rnacentral:rRNA from 1 species